GCACUCACCUAUCCACUAAACAGCAACUUCAAUCUUUCAACAUUGAAGUUGCUGUUUAGUGGAUAGGUGAGUGC